ACUCAGACGACCUGCUCUCUGACCCAGACGAGCCCUGCUCACCAGCAAGGUGGCCGCCGGAGAAGCCUAACCCAAAGCAGGCCGCGCAGCCUGACUCAGCUCCGGUCACGAAAGCCGAAAUGAGGGAGCUACUGGCGGAACUCCGCCAAAAUAUUCAGGAGGACGUAGCCGACAUGAGGAGAGACAUAAAGGGCCUUACGGACCGCGUGGACACUGUGGAGCAGAACUCCCACACGCAUACCAGGCAAGUGACCUCCCUCCAGCAGGAGAUGAAAAUGCUGCAGCAACAGCACUUGAAGGUAGAAGGGGCUAUGGCGGCAAUGGAAGACUCGCGACGUGCCCAGAACCUUAAGGUCAGAGGCAUCGCAGAAUCAGUUCCAGACUCUGAACUCCCCCACCUCAUGCGGCGCCUGGUGAGUAAAAUACUGCCACCAAAGCAAGCCAAGGGAGUAGGCUUCGACGGCAUAUUUAGAAUCCCUAAACCACCAAUGGCCCCAUCAGCAGCAACUAGGGAUCUAAUAGUCAAAUUCCAGAAGCGACAGGACAAAGAAGCAGUAAUGGCCGCCAUUAGGAACACUACUCCGCUCACAUUUGAGGACAUGACUCUCUCCUUUUACCCGGACUUAUCCAGGGGAACCAUGGCCUGGCGCUCAACCCUUAGGCCUUUCACCACCCUGCUCCGCGAGCGAGAUAUCAAAUACAGAUGGCGCUCACCCCACAAGCUUCAAGUGCAUCAGGGAGACACCACGUACCUCAUCGCGGACUUACAAGAGGCGGAGGCCCACCUUCCCACUCUGGGGCUCCCGGCAGACGCCAUACGACGACGCCCCACAAACCCUAAACCACUCAAAUGGAAUCCGGCUACCUCCAAACCUUUUGUUCCUGGGGGGUCCACCCACGCCGCACAGACUGUAGCCACCACCUAAGUGCUUCCGAAGGGGAUGGCCGAGCCUCACCGGCUAUUCACUUGUUGUUUUGGUCUUCUUUUUCGUUAAUUUACCUCUCUACGAUUGCAUUACAUUUUGUAUAUAGUUUAUGGUCUAACAGUACAUUUUAGGGGGACAGGCCUACUUAAGAGGCUCACAUUCACCAUGGGCGGCACUGAGGCAGCACAAUGCCAUCAACCACACCUGGCCCAAGACGGGCUGACACAGGGGCUAUCUGCGUCCCCGCAGGCCCUGCAACAGGGACACCGCGAGACCACACACUACAAUAAGUUUUACAGUAAGGCUCUGGCACAUAGCAGCAGAGCCGGUUAGCACAGGGGAGCAAACGCUGCAGCAUAUUAACCACAAGCAAAUCACCCACUCACCAUAAAGUCUUAUAACAGCUACUAUUCCAUUGCAAAGGUGCUCCUGUACAUGACAGCAAUACCUCUUACAAUUGUACGGAUCCCACUAACUGCUCUCAACGAUAAAACAACAUACACGUAGUUUACCUUUUAAAUGCAUUUUCUCAUUUAUUAACUGCUAACCAUGUUUACAAAGCUCGACUACGAUAACGUAGUAGAUCUAGCAUUCAUGACUAAUCGUCUGUAUAUAUCAUGGCACGUUAGCAACACUUACUGCAUCGACAUGUAUAUUCUAGCAUAACCAAAAAAAAAAAAAAAUGUGUAUACGAAUUCUCAUGCCAAUGUUCAAAUGUUUUGUAUCUUGCAAUACGCUGUUGUGGCGACCGUCAACAAACUGUACCUACCUGCAC